rnacentral:tRNA from 1 species
GGCUUCGUAGCUCAGCUGGUAGAGUGCCAGCCGCUUUGAGACAUGGUGAUUUUGUUGCUGGUUCGAAUCCAGCCGAAGCCC